UGACUCAGAACUGAAGCAGACAAGGGGAAUCCGACUGUUUAAUAAAAACAUAGCUUUGUGAUGGCCUCAAAAGGUGUUGACACAAAGUGAUUUCUGCCCAGUGCUUUGAAUGUGAAUAUGAAGUAAUUUAUAGAAGCUCAGGUAAACGGCGGGAGUAACUAUGACUCUCUUAAGGUAGCCAAAUGCCUCGUCAUCUAAUUAGUGACGCGCAUGAAUGGAUUAAUGAGAUUCCCACUGUCCCUAUCUACCAUCUAGCGAACCCAUAGCCAAGGGAACGAGCUUGGAAUAAUCAGCGGGGAGAGAAGACCCUGUUGAGCUUGACUCUAGUCCGACUUUGUGAAAUGACUUUCGAGAUAUAGCCUAAGUGGGAGCUAACGCGCCGCUGUAAAACCACUGCUCGCUUAGCCAUUUUACUUACUCCAUGAAGAAGUGGCCGAUUUUUCGGUUCUUAGAUUUAAGCCCUGACUCGUAUCAGGGCAAGCUUUGUGGAGGACACAGUCAGGUGGGGAGUUUGACUGGGGCGGUACAUCUGUUAAAACGUAACGCAGGUGUCCUACGGUGAGCUCAAAGAGAACAGAAAUCUCUUGUAGGCCAAAAGGGGAAAAGCUCACUUGAUUUUGAUUUUCAGUACUAAUACAAACCGCGAAAGCGUGGCCUAUCGAUCCUUUAACUUUACAAGUUUUAAGCUAGAGGUGUCAGAAAAGUUACCACAGGGAUAACUGGCUUGUGGCAGCCAAGCGCCCAUAGCGACGUUGCCUUUUGAUCCUUCGAUGUCGGCUCUUCCUAUCAUUGUGAUGUACAAGUCACAACGUGUUGGAUUGUUCACCCGUUAAUAGGGAACGUGAGCUGGGUUUAGACCGUCGUGAGACAGGUUAGUUUUACCCUACUGAUGAAUCGAUGUUGCGACAGUAAUCUUACUUAGUACGAGAGGAACCGUUAGAUCAGAUAAUUGGUUAAUACGGUUAGCUGAAGAGCUAAUGCCGUGAAGCUACCAUCUGUUGGAUUAUGACUGAAAGCCUCUAAGUCAGAAACCAUGCUGGAAAGCAACGUCCAAUCAAUAAUAAAUGAAAAAGAAUAAGGGAAACCUUUAGUUCAGUAUGGGGACGGUCAAACUCGAAAGAGUAUAGCCAAACCCAGAAUAAAUUUUAAUUAUUAUUGU
rnacentral:rRNA from 1 species